GAUGAAGAACGUAGCGAAAUGCGAUACGUAAUGUGAAUUGCAGAAUUCAGUGAAUCAUCGAGUCUUUGAACGCACAUUGCGCCCCCUGGUAUUCCGGGGGGCAUGCCUGUCCGAGCGUCAUUGCUGCCCUCAAUCACGGCUUGUGUGUUGGGCCUCCGUCCUCCUCCCGGGGGACGGGCCCGAAAGGCAGCGGCGGCACCGCGUCCGGUCCUCGAGCGUAUGGGGCUUCGUCACCCGCUCUUGUAGGCCCGGCCGGCGCUUGCCGACACAUCAAUCUUUUUUCCAGGUUGACCUCGGAUCAGGUAGGGAUACCCGCUGAACUUAAGCAUAUCAAUAAGCGGAGGA
rnacentral:misc_RNA from 1 species